rnacentral:rRNA from 1 species
AUGCAUGUCUCAGCACUUGCCGAUUGAAGGUGAAGCCGCGAAUGGCUCAUUACAACAGCUGUAGUUUCUUGGAUCUUCCUCAGUACUUGGAUAACUGUGGUAAUUCUAGAGCUAAUACACGCGAAAAGACCUGAACUUGGUUCGGGUGCAUUUAUUAGAACAAAACCAAUCGGGUGUUCCCGUGGUUUGGUGAAUCUGAAUAACUUGGUGAAUCGCACAGUCUUUGAACUGGCGAUGUGUCUUUCAAGUGUCUGCCUUAUCAACUUUCGAUGGUAGUUUAUGUGCCUACCAUGGUUGUAACGGGUAACGGAGAAUCAGGGUUCGACUCCGGAGAGGGAGCCUGAGAAACGGCUACCACAUCCAAGGAAGGCAGCAGGCGCGCAAAUUACCCACUCUCAGCUCGAGGAGGUAGUGACGAAAAAUAACGAGGCGGUUCUCUAUGAGGCCCGUCAUCGGAAUGGGUACAUUUUAAACCCUAUAACGAGGAUCUAUUGGAGGGCAAGUCUGGUGCCAGCAGCCGCGGUAAUUCCAGCUCCAAAAGCGUAUACCAAUGCUGCUGCGUUUAAAAAGCUCGUAGUUGGAUCUGCGAUCGAGGUAGCCGGUCCCCUAUUAGGGUGCACUGGUGUACCUGAUCGAAAGGGUUGGUUUCCARGUGAUGCUCUUAACCGGGUGUCUCAUGGGACCAACAAGUUUACUUUGAAAAAAUUAGAGUGCUCAAAGCAGGCGAUUCGCCUGAAUAGUGGUGCAUGGAAUAAUAGAAUAGGACCUCGGUUCUAUUUUGUUGGUUUUCGGAGCUUGAGGUAAUGAUUAAGAGGAACGGAUGGGGGCAUUCGUAUUGUGGCGUUAGAGGUGAAAUUCUUGGAUCGCCGCAAGACGGACAACUGCGAAAGCAUU